AUUGAACGCUGGCGGCAGGCCUAACACAUGCAAGUCGAGCGGAGCGGCGGACGGGUGAGUAAUGCCUAGGAAUCUGCCUGGUAGUGGGGGAUAACGUCCGGAAACGGGCGCUAAUACCGCAUACUAUCAGAUGAGCCUAGGUCGGAUUAGCUAGUUGGUGGGGUAAAGGCCUACCAAGGCGACGAUCCGUAACUGGUCUGAGAGGAUGAUAAGUCACACUGGAACUGAGACACGGUCCGUACUCCUACGGUAGGCAGCAGUGGGGAAUAUUGCACACUGGGCGCAAGCCUGAUGCAGCCAUGCCGCGUGUAUGAAGAAGGCCUUCGGGUUGUAAAGUUCUUUCAGCGGGGAGGCGUUACCCGCAGAAGAAGCACCGGCUAACUCCGUGCCAGCAGCCGCGGUAAUUC
rnacentral:rRNA from 1 species